GUGCUUCUGCUGGCGUUUAGCGGCGCUUCGGCCGGCCAGAAAUGGAGUGCGUAGUAGACUAAGCAAGGGGACACAACACCCAAGAAGGAAGGGCGACCCGUCGAGGCUUACGAUAACGGCACAGGCGGGCCAUUCAGAAAAGCCGGGGGUCAAAGGUGAGAAGAGCAGAGGGCACCAUGAGCGAGCCGGGGCCCCCCACCGCACCCACCGCCACCACCACCACCACGGGCGGCACCUCUGCGACCAGCACCAGCACCACCACCUCCAGCUCCACCACGGCUGCCAGCAGUCACACGACGACACCUUCUACUGCCACUACUGCUUCUGUUAGCAGUACUAAUGCCAGCAGCAGCAGUAGUAGUAGUACUAGUAGCAGUAUUACUACUACUGCAGCAAGACAGCCAGUCCCUCAGAUUUCAGUUUACGGAGGGAUACCCGACAGGCAAACUGUGCAGGUGAUCCAACAAGCGCUCCACAGGCAGCCCAACACGGCGGCGCAGUACCUACAGCAGAUGUACGCGGCCCAACAGCAGCAUCUCAUGUUACAGACCGCGGCGCUCCAGCAGCAGCACAGCCUCAGCACUGCUCAGCUGCAGAGCCUUGCUGCCGUGCAGCAGGCCAGUAUUGCAGCAGGUCGCCAGAACGCCCAGAACAGCACAACUUCUCAGCAAACAGGAUCGACUCAGACCACGAUCAACCUGACCGCCUCACCGGCGGCUGCACAGCUGAUCAGCCGUGCCCAGAGCAUCACGUCGGCUCCCACCAGUAUUUCCCAGCAGGCUGUUCUGCUGGGCAGCCCAUCUAGCACCACCCUCACCGCCAGCCAGGCGCAGAUGUACCUGCGUGCGCAGAUGGCCCAGCAGAGCAAUGUUUUCCAGGCGCAGCAGAGCAACCUGGUGCAAGUGGCCAGGAGUUUGGGCCGAGCUGUGCCCCUGUCGCCGCAGCUGAUCUUCACGCCAACGGCCACCGUGACAGCGAUGCAAUCCGACAGCUCCGCUCAGAAUCAGGUCCAAAAUCUGGCCAUACGCGGCCAGCAGGGAUCGACCACGUCCUCCUCCCAGACUCAGACGCUGCAGGCUCUCAGUCUGAAGCAGAGCCCGGUGCCCAUCCAGCCCGCGUCGCUUGUAAAGAACCCCGGACAGGGGGGGCAACCGUCUGCGGCAGUCAAGUCCGCCUUGUCCGAGAGUCCCUCGGAGGUGGGAAAGAAGGGGGACGCCGCCGUGGUCACAGAGGCCCGGGCCAUUAACAUGAGCCGCAACGUCACAACAGUCAGCGCGCAGCCAUUAAUUGCUCCAGCCUACACGCAGAUUCAGCCCCACUCACUGGUUCAGCAACACAAGCAGCAGCAGCAGUUUGUGGUCCAUCACAGCCAAGGUUCCCAGAGGACCUCCGGUCAGCUGCUGCAGACGGCGUCCAUUCAGCCGUCGCCACACACCGUCCCCGUGCUGCCCAAGCCGGCGCCGCACCAGCCCACCGCUCCUGGCCAGCACGCCACCAUCUUCCACUCCACCAUCAGCUCACACACCCUCCCGCCCCCUGCCUCAUCCUCCUCUUCUUCCACGCUGACGAGUCAGGCCAAAGCUCAGCCCGUGCAGCUCACAGCCAUUAACCUACAAAUACAUCCCACGGCCUCUCGACCACUGGUUCAGGAGUGUAAAGAUAAGCCUACUUCACUCGUAGUGAGAGAGAUUUGUGCAGCCUCCAGCGUGCAGCAACAACACCAGCAACAAAAGCUGCCACCGCCAGCGCCAGCAACAACACCAGCACCAACACCACCACUACCACCGCAGCAGCAGCAAAAUAUGCCAUCGCAACCCAGGAAGCCCGGAGAGCAGCCCAAAGCUGACCCAGCACCACAAGGUCAGCCACAAGGUGGGGGUGUGACCAAGAGGCCGACGCCUGCACCUGGGACCCCACCGCCGGCCAUGACCUCGGGAAACGAUGGCGAGGCGCCCAACAUGACGGCGGUCGCGUCACACAACGGCGAGAGCAAGCCGCCACAGGCCAUCGUCAAGCCGCAGGUCCUCACGCACGUCAUCGAGGGCUUUGUCAUCCAGGAGGGCGCCGAGCCGUUCCCAGUGUGUGUGGAGCGUCUACCCAUCCUCAUCAACAGCCCCAAGAAACUGGACAGUCAGCUCUCCUCCGACCCGGACAAAACUCCAGUGAGCAAUGCCGCAAACUCUGACUCUGAGCCCGAAGACUUGAACCAGACAGAAAAGGAUCAAGAGCCCAAGCUUACGUGUGAGUACUGCGGCUGGGUGGACUUUGCCUACACGUUCAAGGGCUCGAAGCGCUUCUGCUCCAUGGUUUGUGCUAAGAGGUACAAUGUGGGAUGCACGAAGCGCAUCGGACUGUUCCGUCCAGAGAAAACCAAACCAGCAAAUCGCUGGCGCAGAAGAAAUCAGGGCCGCUCUAGUAUCGAAGCGAAGAAGCGGAAGAUGUCCCCGUCGCCGCAGCAGACUCAGGGGGGUUCCGUGUCCUCUCCUCAUCUCUCCCAGCCCAGCCAGGAGGAGUCCAGCCCGUGUUCGGAGAUGUCCAGCUACGAGGAGCCGCCUUCGCCGCUGUCUGCGGCCAGCUCAGGACCCCCGGCGACCCCCGCCCCUGCUCCGGUCCCCGUCCAGCGGCAGCCCAGCAGGGUGUCGUCGGAGCCGGAAGCCCUCGGCGGCAGAGACGCGACUGCCGCUUUGUGUCAGCCUUUUUUACCCAACGACCCCACCAAGUGGAAUGUGGAGGAAGUGUACGAAUUCAUUUGUUCAUUGCCAGGCUGUCAGGAGAUCGCCGACGAGUUCCGCUCCCAAGAGAUCGACGGACAAGCUUUGCUCCUGUUGAAGGAGGACCACCUGAUGAGCACCAUGAACAUCAAACUGGGACCAGCGCUCAAGAUCUUCGCACGCAUCAAUAUGCUCAAAGACUCGUAGCGAAGGGUGCGUCCGUGCGUUUGUGUCUCUGAUUGCACUGUGACCUCACCAUCUCAUCUUCACGGACUCCUGCACUUGAUGGCGGCGUCACCAGCUGACCGAGGAUUUUAGUUCCGGAGAACUGACUGAGAUUGAAGUGGGCAUUAAGUGUUAAUCAAGAGAGAGUUUCUUUCAUGAGGAUUCAGAGCAGGAGAAGCUCUGAUGUGAGUGAAAGUAGGUCUGAAUUGAUGGACAUUGUUGCAGGAAGAACCCUCUUACUCCCUAAGGGUUGCGCUGGUGUGUCUCAUUGAUUGGACUGCGGUCAGGAUGGAAGUUAAGCCAUACAAGAGCAGGUUGCCACGGUGACACACGAGACGGGAGAACAUGCGCGACCUCAUGUCAGCGAGAUGAAGAUGGACGGACGGUGGGAUGGAGGCGACUGAUUGGUGACGUUCAAACCGAGGCCGUGGGAGGACGGAACGGGAUGGGAGACGCCACACAUACACACACAGAAACAGACUUCUUUCCUGGCCCGGCUUGGCACAGGUACCAAAACACAUAACAAAACGCUACCAUCAUGCAUCACCAGUGGAAGGUAACAGUCAGAACACGGUGGCAAGAACGCUGCUGUUACUACGGUGCCACACAAACGCACGGGUCACAUCUUUAACAGUCUGUCAAUGCACAAACACACACACACACAAAAAGUGGCCAAGCGUGACGACAAGCGUGUUGACGCCACAACAACAUCCUUCAAACAAAAUGAAACACGGUGUGCGCGUGCACGUGCGUGUCGUGCUCUCAGCAUAGCAAAUCAAUUCGUUAUCACGACAACACAAAAAAAAAAAAAAAAACAUUUACAUUUGGUUUCUUUUUUAACACGACGUGACACACUAGGCGUGCGAGACGUUUAAGCGUGAUAAUGAGAUGCUAAUUUGGGGGAAAGCGCGUGCUCGGGCCCUCUUCUUUUUUGUUUUUAAUAUAGUCAAAUAUAAUCAGGGUGUGUUUGGGUUCCAUUUACAAAAAUUGUCUCAAAUGGUGCCUCAGCCUAUUAAAAAAAGUAUCACAAAAAUGGACGCCUCGGCUGACAUGUUCAAAGGGAUAGUGCCAUGUGUCAACAGUGUUUUUUUUUUUUUUUCUUCUUUUUUGUUUUUUUUGUCUCU